rfam:Tetrahymena thermophila SB210 genomic scaffold scf_8254406, whole genome shotgun sequence.
GCCCGUGUAGCUCAGUUGGUUAGAGCGCGAGUCUCAUAAUCUCGAGGCCGAGGGUUCGAUCCCCUCCGCAGGCA